AGAGUUUGAUCCUGGCUCAGGACGAACGCUGGCGGCGUGCCUAACACAUGCAAGUCGUACGCUUGUAAAAGCGUGGCGAACGGGUGAGUAAUAGCAAGGAACGUGCCUUAUUCCGGGAAAUACCCAGCCGAAAGGUUGGCUAAUGUCCCAUGGUCUCGCAAGAGUAAAGCUCCGGCGGAAUAAGAUCGGCCUUGUACCUAUCAGCUUGUUGGCGGGGUAAAUGCCCACCAAGGCUACGACGGGUAGCUGGUCUGAGAGGAUGAUCAGCCACAAUGGGACUGAGACACGGCCCAUACACCUACGGGUGGCAGCAGUUGGGAAUAUUGCGCAAUGGGCGACAGCCUGACGCAGCGACGCCGCGUGAAGGAUGAAGGUUUUCGGAUCGUAAACUUCUUUUGUGAGGGACGAUUGUGUCGGUACCUCACGAAUAAGGAUCGGCUAACUCCGUGCCAGCAGCCGCGGUCAUACGGAGGAUCCAAGCGUUAUCCGGAAUUACUGGGCGUAAAGAGUUGCGUAGGUGGCAUUGUAAGUUGGUAGUGAAAGCGUGCGGCUCAACCGCAUACACAUUAUCAAAACUGCAAAGCUAGAGGACAAGAGAGGUCACUGGAAUUCCUAGUGUAGGAGUGAAAUCCGUAGAUAUUAGGAGGAACACCGAUGGCGUAGGCAGGUGACUGGCUUGUUCCUGACACUAAGGCACGAAAGCGUGGGUAGCAAACGGGAUUAGAUACCUCGGUAGUCCACGCUGUAAACGAUGGAUGCUAGCUGUAUUCGGUAUCGACCCCGGAUGUAGCGAAGCUAACGCGUUAAGCAUCCCGCCUGUGGAGUACGGUCGCAAGACUGAAACAUAAAGGAAUUGACGGGGACCCGCACAAGCGGUGGAGCGUGUUGUUUAAUUCGAUGGUAAGCGAAGAACCUUACCCAGGUUUGACAUCCUGCGAAUUUCUUCGAAAGAAGAAAGUGCUUUAUUGAGCGCAGUGACAGGUGCUGCAUGGCCGUCGUCAUCUCGUGUCGUGAGAUGUUUGGUUAAGUCCAUCAACGAGCGCAACCCUUAUAGUUAGUUGAAUUUUUCUAGCUAGACUGCCCUGGCAACAGGGAGGAAGGAGGGGAUGAUGUCAGGUCAGUAUUGCCCUUACACCUGGGGCUACAAACACGCUACAAUGGCCGGUACAAAGGGCAGCCAAGUCGCGAGACGGAGCAAAUCCCAUCAAAGCCGGUCUCAGUUCGGAUUGCAGGCUGAAACUCGCCUGCAUGAAGUCGGAAUCGCUAGUAACGGUAGGUCAGCUAUACUACCGUGAAUACGUUCCCGGGUCUUGUACACACCGCCCGUCAAACCAUGAAAGUCGCCAAUACCUGACGUGCUAGCUUGCCUAGCCCUAAGGUAGGGGAGAUGAUUGGGGUUAAGUCGUAACAAGGUAUCC
rnacentral:rRNA from 1 species